rnacentral:rRNA from 1 species
GGUUAAGCGACUAAGCGUACACGGUGGAUGCCCUGGCAGUCAGAGGCGAUGAAGGACGUGCUAAUCUGCGAAAAGCGUCGGUAAGGUGAUAUGAACCGUUAUAGCCGGCGAUGUCCGAAUGGGGAAACCCAGUGUGAUUCGUCACACUAUCGUUAACUGAAUACAUAGGUUAACGAGGCGAACCGGGGGAACUGAAACAUCUAAGUACCCCGAGGAAAAGAAAUCAACCGAGAUUCCCCCAGUAGCGGCGAGCGAACGGGGAGCAGCCCAGAGUCUGAAUCAGCUUGUGUGUUAGUGGAACGGUCUGGAAAGUCCGACGGUACAGGGUGAUAGUCCCGUACACCAAAAUGCACAGGCUGUGAACUCGAAGAGUAGGGCGGGACACGUGGUAUCCUGUCUGAAUAUGGGGGGACCAUCCUCCAAGGCUAAAUACUCCUGACUGACCGAUAGUGAACCAGUACCGUGAGGGAAAGGCGAAAAGAACCCCGGCGAGGGGAGUGAAAAAGAACCUGAAACCGUGUACGUACAAGCAGUGGGAGCACCUUCGGGUGUGACUGCGUACCUUUUGUAUAAUGGGUCAGCGACUUAUAUUCUGUAGCAAGGUUAACCGUAUAGGGGAGCCGCAGGGAAACCGAGUCUUAACUGGGCGUUAAGUUGCAGGGUAUAGACCCGAAACCCGGUGAUCUAGCCAUGGGCAGGUUGAAGGUUGGGUAACACUAACUGGAGGACCGAACCGACUAAUGUUGAAAAAUUAGCGGAUGACUUGUGGCUGGGGGUGAAAGGCCAAUCAAACCGGGAGAUAGCUGGUUCUCCCCGAAAGCUAUUUAGGUAGCGCCUCGUGAACUCAUCUUCGGGGGUAGAGCACUGUUUCGGCUAGGGGGUCAUCCCGACUUACCAACCCGAUGCAAACUACGAAUACCGAAGAAUGUUAUCACGGGAGACACACGGCGGGUGCUAACGUCCGUCGUGAAGAGGGAAACAACCCAGACCGCCAGCUAAGGUCCCAAAGUCAUGGUUAAGUGGGAAACGAUGUGGGAAGGCACAGACAGCCAGGAUGUUGGCUUAGAAGCAGCCAUCAUUUAAAGAAAGCGUAAUAGCUCACUGGUCGAGUCGGCCUGCGCGGAAGAUGUAACGGGGCUAAACCAUGCACCGAAGCUGCGGCAGCGACACGAUGUGUUGUUGGGUAGGGGAGCGUUCUGUAAGCCUGCGAAGGUGACCUGUGAGGGUUGCUGGAGGUAUCAGAAGUGCGAAUGCUGACAUAAGUAACGAUAAAGCGGGUGAAAAGCCCGCUCGCCGGAAGACCAAGGGUUCCUGUCCAACGUUAAUCGGGGCAGGGUGAGUCGACCCCUAAGGCGAGGCCGAAAGGCGUAGUCGAUGGGAAACAGGUUAAUAUUCCUGUACUUGGUGUUACUGCGAAGGGGGGACGGAGAAGGCUAUGUUAGCCGGGCGACGGUUGUCCCGGUUUAAGCAUGUAGGCUGGUUAUCCAGGCAAAUCCGGAUAAUCAAGGCUGAGGUGUGAUGACGAGGCACUACGGUGCUGAAGUAACAAAUGCCCUGCUUCCAGGAAAAGCCUCUAAGCAUCAGGUAACACGAAAUCGUACCCCAAACCGACACAGGUGGUCAGGUAGAGAAUACCAAGGCGCUUGAGAGAACUCGGGUGAAGGAACUAGGCAAAAUGGUGCCGUAACUUCGGGAGAAGGCACGCUGGUGUGUAGGUGAAGUCCCUGCGGAUGGAGCUGAGACCAGUCGAAGAUACCAGCUGGCUGCAACUGUUUAUUAAAAACACAGCACUGUGCAAACACGAAAGUGGACGUAUACGGUGUGACGCCUGCCCGGUGCCGGAAGGUUAAUUGAUGGGGUUAUCCGUAAGGAGAAGCUCUUGAUCGAAGCCCCGGUAAACGGCGGCCGUAACUAUAACGGUCCUAAGGUAGCGAAAUUCCUUGUCGGGUAAGUUCCGACCUGCACGAAUGGCGUAAUGAUGGCCAGGCUGUCUCCACCCGAGACUCAGUGAAAUUGAACUCGCUGUGAAGAUGCAGUGUACCCGCGGCAAGACGGAAAGACCCCGUGAACCUUUACUAUAGCUUGACACUGAACAUUGAGCCUUGAUGUGUAGGAUAGGUGGGAGGCUUUGAAGCGUGGACGCCAGUCUGCGUGGAGCCAACCUUGAAAUACCACCCUUUAAUGUUUGAUGUUCUAACGUUGGCCCCUUAUCGGGGUUGCGGACAGUGUCUGGUGGGUAGUUUGACUGGGGCGGUCUCCUCCCAAAGCGUAACGGAGGAGCACGAAGGUUAGCUAAUCCUGGUCGGACAUCAGGAGGUUAGUGCAAUGGCAUAAGCUAGCUUGACUGCGAGCGUGACGGCGCGAGCAGGUGCGAAAGCAGGUCAUAGUGAUCCGGUGGUUCUGAAUGGAAGGGCCAUCGCUCAACGGAUAAAAGGUACUCCGGGGAUAACAGGCUGAUACCGCCCAAGAGUUCAUAUCGACGGCGGUGUUUGGCACCUCGAUGUCGGCUCAUCACAUCCUGGGGCUGAAGUAGGUCCCAAGGGUAUGGCUGUUCGCCAUUUAAAGUGGUACGCGAGCUGGGUUUAGAACGUCGUGAGACAGUUCGGUCCCUAUCUGCCGUGGGCGCUGGAGAAUUGAGGGGGGCUGCUCCUAGUACGAGAGGACCGGAGUGGACGCAUCACUGGUGUUCGGGUUGUCAUGCCAAUGGCACUGCCCGGUAGCUAAAUGCGGAAGAGAUAAGUGCUGAAAGCAUCUAAGCACGAAACUUGCCCCGAGAUGAGUUCUCCCUGAGACUUUAAGUCUCCUGAAGGAACGUUGAAGACGAUGACGUUGAUAGGCCGGGUGUGUAAGCGCAGCGAUGCGUUGAGCUAACCGGUACUAAUGAACCGUGAGGCUUAACCUU